rnacentral:rRNA from 1 species
AUACUGGUUCAGAGAGUUAUUUUUAGUGGCGAGGAUAUCUGAAUAAUGGAUCCGUCUCGAAAGCGAGUUGUAAUAGGGCGACUAGUCGCGAGGAGUAGACCCGAAACCGGCGCGAUCUAUCCAUGGCCAGGUUGAAGAUUAGGUAGUACUAAUAGGAGGACCGAACCCAAUACUGUUGCAAAAGUAAGGGAUGAGCUGUGGAUCGGAGUGAAAGGCUAAUCAAUCACGGAGAUAGCUGGUUC